GACGAACGCUGGCGGCGUGCUUAACACAUGCAAGUCGAACGGAAAGGCCCUGCUUUUGUGGGGUGUUCGAGUGGCGAACGGGUGAGUAACACGUGAGUAACCUGCCCUUGACUUUGGGAUAACUUCAGGAAACUGGGGCUACUACCGGAUAGGAGCUCCUGCUGCAUGGGGGGGGUUGGUAAGUUUCGGCGGUUGUGGAUGGACUCGCGGGUCAUCAGCUUGUUGGGGGGGUGGUGGCUUAGCAAGGCGUUGACGGGUGGCCGGCCUGAGAGGGUGACCGGCCACAUUGGGACUGAGAUACGGCCCAGACUCCUACGGUAGGCAGCAGUGGGGAAUAUUCCCCAAUGGGCGGAAGCCUGAGGCAGCAGCGCCGGGUGCGGAAUGACGGCCUUCGGGUUGUAAACCGCUUUCGCCUGUGACGAAGCGUGAGUGACGGUAAUGGGUAAAGAAGCACCGGCUAACUACGUG
rnacentral:rRNA from 1 species